GACGAAGGUGACGACCGUUGCUCGGAAUCACUGGGCGUAAAGCGCGUGUAGGCGGCCAUCUAAGUCGGGCGUGAAAUCCCACGGCUCAACCGUGGAAGUGCACUCGAAACUGGAUGGCUAGAGUCCUGGAGAGGAAGGUGGAAUGCUUGGUGUAGAGGUGAAAUUCGUAGAUAUCAAGCGGAACACCGGUGGCGAAGGCGGCCUUCUGGACAGUGACUGACGCUGAGACGCGAAAGCGUGGGGAGCAAACAGG
rnacentral:rRNA from 1 species